AUUGAACGCUGGCGGCAGGCCUAACACAUGCAAGUCGAACGAGUGGCGGACGGGUGAGUAAUGUCUGGGAAACUGCCCGAUGGAGGGGGAUAACUACUGGAAACGGUAGCUAAUACCGCAUACCAUCGGAUGUCCCCAGUUGGGAUUAGCUUGUAGGUGGGGUAACGGCUAACCUAGGCGACGCUCCCUAGCUGGUCUGAGAGGAUGACCAGCCACACGGGAACUGAGACACGGUCCAGACGCCUACGGGAGGCAGCAGGGGGGAAUAUUGCACAAUGGGCGCAAGCCUGAUGCAGCCAUGCCGCGGGUAUGAAGAAGGCCUUCGGGUUGUAAAGUACUUUCAGCGAGGAGGCGUUACUCGCAGAAGAAGCAUCGGCUAACUCCGUGCCAGCCGCCGCGGUAAUAC
rnacentral:rRNA from 1 species